rnacentral:rRNA from 1 species
UACGUAGGGUGCAAGCGUUAAUCGGAAUUACUGGGCGUAAAGCGUGCGCAGGCGGUGAUGUAAGACAGGUGUGAAAUCCCCGGGCUUAACCUGGGAACUGCAUUUGUGACUGCAUAGCUAGAGUACGGUAGAGGGGGAUGGAAUUCCGCGUGUAGCAGUGAAAUGCGUAGAUAUGCGGAGGAACACCGAUGGCGAAGGCAAUCCCCCUGGACCUGUACUGACGCUCAUGCACGAAAAGCGUGGGGGAGCAAACAGG